AUUGAACGCUGGCGGAAUGCUUUACACAUGCAAGUCGAACGGCAGCACGGGGGCAACCCUGGCGGCGAGUGGCGAACGGGUGAGUAAUACAUCGGAACGUGCCCAGACGUGGGGGAUAACGUAGCGAAAGUUACGCUAAUACCGCAUACGAUCUACGGAUGAAAGCGGGGGACCGUAAGGCCUCGCGCGAUUGGAGCGGCCGAUGUCAGAUUAGGUAGUUGGUGAGGUAAAGGCUCACCAAGCCGACGAUCUGUAGCUGGUCUGAGAGGACGACCAGCCACACUGGGACUGGGACACGGCCCAGACUCCUACGGGAGGCAGCAGUGGGGAAUUUUGGACAAUGGGCGCAAGCCUGAUCCAGCCAUUCCGCGUGCAGGACGAAGGCCUUCGGGUUGUAAACUGCUUUUGUACGGAACGAAAAGGCUCUGGUUAAUACCUGGGGCUCAUGACGGUACCGUAAGAAUAAGCACCGGCUAACUACGUGCCAGCCGCCGCGGUAA
rnacentral:rRNA from 1 species